UGCUUCGGUGCGUCACUCGCUUCUUCCGGCGAGUUUCCGGCGAACUUCCGUCGAUCAUCCGAUGAACCCUCGGUGAUGCUCCUGCGGACUUCCGGCAAACUCCUGGACUGCGACGAUCCACUUGGCAAGUUCCGACGAGCUCCUUUGGCAAGCUUCUGGACUUCUCGGAUUUGUUCCCGCAGAACCUCCGACGACUGUCCGAACUUCUGUCGAGCUCUCGAACUCCCAAC
rnacentral:lncRNA from 1 species